CCGAUCCAUUACUGAAACUACUGAGGAAAAGAAUCCUGGCAAUGAGCUGCAGAUAUACUAUGCACCUCAUAACACCUACAGUGACUUUUUCGAUGAGAUCAAUCGCCGUGGCGACACUUUCUACGUAGUGUCUUUCCGCAGGGUAAGUUUCAGCUUGUCUGGUCCAUUACACUGACUUGAGAAGAGAAUCUGGCGCUGGCUUCCAGGCAAAAUCUGACACGGUCAUGAAAUUGAUCACAUAAACUAAAAUUAGAAGAGAUUUCAAUGGACGCUUUCACUGCUAACACUAAUCACAUGUCUGUGGUGAUAUUUCCUUCUCCCAAACUGGUCUUAAAAAGCGCCAAAUUAAUUUAU